rnacentral:ncRNA from 2 species
CAAUAAACCUUAUUGUAGCGGCAGCUCCCGGUUUUUUCAACCGGGACUAUAGCGAAAAGAAGGACUAUCG